rnacentral:rRNA from 1 species
CCUACGGGAGGCAGCAGUGAGGAAUAUUGGUCAAUGGGCGAGAGCCUGAACCAGCCAAGUCGCGUGAAGGAUGACGGCCCUACGGGUUGUAAACUUCUUUUGUCAGGGAGCAAUAGACUCCACGUGUGGUCUUAGCGAGAGUACCUGAAGAAAAAGCAUCGGCCAACUCCGUGCCAGCAGCCGCGGUAAUACGGAGGAUGCGAGCGUUAUCCGGAUUUAUUGGGUUUAAAGGGUGCGCAGGCGGAUUUUUAAGUCAGCGGUAAAAUCGUGGGGCUCAACCCCAUCCAGCCGUUGAAACUGGGGUUCUAGAGUGGGCGAGAGGUAUGCGGAAUGCGUGGUGUAGCGGUGAAAUGCAUAGAUAUCACGCAGAACCCCGAUUGCGAAGGCAGCAUACCGGUGCACAACUGACGCUCAGGCACGAAAGCGUGGGUAUCGAACAGGAUUAGAUACCCCGGUAGUC